UAAAUAUGAGAGUUUGAUCCUGGCUCAGGAUGAACGCUGGCGGCGUGCCUAACACAUGCAAGUCGAACGAAGCUCCUGCGACAGAAUCCUUCGGGAGGAAGAUGCUUGAGACUGAGUGGCGGACGGGUGAGUAACGCGUGGGUAACCUGCCCUGUACAGGGGGACAACAGUUGGAAACGACUGCUAAUACCGCAUAAGC
rnacentral:rRNA from 1 species